UACGAAGGUCCCAAGCGUUAUCCGGAUUUAUUGGGUUUAAAGGGUGCGUAGGCGGACUGUUAAGUCAGUGGUGAAAGCUCCAUGCCUAACAUGGAAAUUGCCAUUGAUACUGACGGUCUUGAGUACAUUUGAAGUGGGCGGAAUGUGUCAUGUAGCGGUGAAAUGCUCAGAUAUGACACAGAACACCGAUUGCGUAGGCAGCUCACUAAACCGUAACUGACGCUGAGGCACGAAAGCGUGGGGAGCAAACAGG
rnacentral:rRNA from 1 species